rnacentral:rRNA from 1 species
UACGUAGUGAGCAAGCGUUGUUCGGAUUUACUGGGCUUAAAGGGCUCGUAGGCGGGCUGUCAAGUCUGGGGUGAAAUGCCGCGGCUCAACCGUGGAACUGCCUUAGAUACUGACGGCCUCGAGGAAGGUAGGGGCAUGCGGAACUGUAGGUGGAGCGGUGAAAUGCGUUGAUAUCUACAGGAACUCCGGUGGCGAAAGCGGCGUGCUGGACCUUUUCUGACGCUGAGGCGCGAAAGCUAGGGGAGCAAACGGG